rnacentral:lncRNA from 1 species
AGAGAAUGUGUCAUACAAUUGGUAUAGGAGAAGGAGUUAAUAACAAAGACAGAAAAAAAUCCAGUGCAUAAGGAAGAAAACUAGAAGGGGAGCAGCUUGUCAUGAUAUAGAAGGAGAGGGAAAGAUUGGAGGCAAAGUCCUUGAGGAGGCACAAAAGACAGAAUCCCAGGCAGAAGCAGGGAAGGUGUCCCCAUCAGAGCCGGAACACUCUUGCUGAGACAGAAGCAUGGCAGAAGAGACCAGUCCAAUGCAGGCAUUAUAUUUAGAAAACAGUUAUUACAACAAAUAGUGCUUUAGAAGAUCUGAAUCUCCAAAUCAAUGUGCUCCAUGAACGGUAUUAUGCCAGAUACUGGAGCUAAAAAGAUGGACAAACAGCCUUUCUCAAAGAACUCAUAAACUGGAGAGGAGAUGUAUGCAAGAACAACAAGCUAGACCACAUUGUGAUAAGGACUUAUCUAAUGGUAUGAAGAAGUGGUGUAGCAGAGAGGAGAGAGCAAUUAAUCCUGGGGCAUGGACGGCCUUCAAGAGAAGAAAGUGAUAUUGCAGCUUGAUCAUAAAGGGUUAUGGGAAUUUUUCCAGGCUAAGAAGGAAAUGAAGGGUAUUCCAGGCAUGAACAAAAGCACAGAGAAUUGACAGCACAUAUUGUUUAGGGGAAGAGCAAAUUGCGGGAAAUUAGCUUAGAAUGGGGUAUGAUACCCAAAUAAUGAAAUAUGGAAGGUAGAAUGUUAAGGAGACAUCUCACCAAAUUAAAGCGCUGAACUUCACUAGGGUCACUGGAGGAGCCUUUGAAAAGUUUCAAUAGGAAACAGCCUAAUUGGAGCUGGGAUAGAACACAUUGGAGAAGGAGGAGACUGAACAGGGAGACCCAUCAGGAGUAUCAGUAAUUCAGGCUGAAGAUGCAGAAACAGCGGCAGGCCCUGAGCAGCAGGGAAAAAAAGGGAAAGUUGAGAGCCACGUGGGAAGUAAAAAGGACCCACUGGCAACUGAUUAGAUGUGAGUGUGGAGGAAGGGAGAAUAUGUGCUUAAUAAAUAUUUAUGGUGGGAUAGUA